UGAGUUAGCAAUGCAAUUCAAUUUAUUAGUUAUAAAUAAAGUACAAAAAAUCCACGAAAUGUGAAUCUAAGCAGUUACACAAUUUCUAAUGUCUCAGUUCAUCUUUAAUGCACUAUUGCUUUCAUAUUGAUAAUAAAUAUUCUAGCUUUUUUUCUAUAAAAUAGUCUAUAUGUAGCAAAAUGUUGCACAGCACAACGGAACAGCAGUAGGAUUACGAAACCGAGAAUGACCCUUUCUCUAUCCCACGUUAUUAAACAACUUUAUAUUCUGGCUCAUUGGUGGGAGUUUUUUUUUUAGUUAUUUACUAUUUUAAUUUCUUUAUUUUUUUUGCUUAAAGAAAAUUUGGCAUUUAUGCAUUAAUUGCUAUAAAAAAAAUGGUCAAUCUGUACAAUAAACUCAAAACCCACUUACAGAUAUUAAUCCCACAACUCAUGAAUCGAGAUUAGUAGAUAUGUAGACAGACAGACAUACAAACAGACAGACACACGUACACGUAAACAUAGACUAUAUUACAAUGUAGCAGUGUAAAACAUGGUGGGAGAUUUAUCAAAGUGUUAGCAGAAGCAUAGGUCUAAAAGUGGGGCAAUCUCCAUGGAAACCAAUGUUCCUGCUGAUUGCAAUAGUUUCCACGGUGAUUGCUCCACUUAUUCAUAACAAUCUCUUCCAAUGCAUAAGUUACAGAGUCACGUAUAUUAUAUUAUAUUUGCUGGUAUAUGUUUUAUAUACAUAUAUAUAUAUAUAUAAUACACCAGUCUGUUGCAGGAUGCAAUGAUACCUUUAACUAGCUUAUUGACUCCCCUCUGUUUAUUUACUUUUUCUGGCUAUUCUCAGCCAACCUGCACCUUUCACUUUCAGGCACAUCUUCUGCUAUUUAUGACACCCCACUCACCCCUCUCUCUCCCCUUCUCUAACAUCAGUUGUUUUAAUUGUUAACCGCUAUCAGAUUGAUCAGUAUUGCUUCAGAUCUGAGGAAGAGAGGAAAACUCUGGAAAGCUUGUCUGUGAAAUAUUAUGUUAGUCCAAUAAAAAAGGUAUCUGGUAUUUUGGCAUCUCGUCUACUGGACUAAUAUGGCUAAUCCAAUCUACACUAUAUAUAUAUAUAUAUAUAUAUAUAUAU